GACAUACGGGGGAGGCCUAAAACAUGCAAGCCGAGCGGUAGAGUCUCUUCGGAGACUUGAGAGCGGCGCACGGGUGCGGAACACGUGUGCAACCUGCCUUUAUCUGGGGGAUAGCCUUUCGAAAGGAAGAUUAAUACCCCAUAAUAUAUUGAAUGGCAUCAUUCGAUAUUGAAAACUCCGGUGGAUAGAGAUGGGCACGCGCAAGAUUAGAUAGUUGGUGAGGUAACGGCUCACCAAGUCUGCGAUCUUUAGGGGGCCUGAGAGGGUGAUCCCCCACACUGGUACUGAGACACGGACCAGACUCCUACGGGAGGCAGCAGUGAGGAAUAUUGGACAAUGGGUGAGAGCCUGAUCCAGCCAUCCCGCGUGAAGGACGACGGCCCUAUGGGUUGUAAACUUCUUUUGUAUAGGGAUAAACCUACUCUCGUGAGAGUAGCUGAAGGUACUAUACGAAUAAGCACCGGCUAACUCCGUGCCAGCAGCCGCGGUAAUACGGAGGGUGCAAGCGUUAUCCGGAUUUAUUGGGUUUAAAGGGUCCGUAGGCGGAUCUGUAAGUCAGUGGUGAAAUCUCACAGCUUAACUGUGAAACUGCCAUUGAUACUGCAGGUCUUGAGUGUUAUUGAAGUAGCUGGAAUAAGUAGUGUAGCGGUGAAAUGCAUAGAUAUUACUUAGAACACCAAUUGCGAAGGCAGGUUACUAAGCAACAACUGACGCUGAUGGACGAAAGCGUGGGGAGCGAACAGGAUUAGAUACCCUGGUAGUCCACGCCGUAAACGAUGCUAACUCGUUUUUGGGAUGUAAGUUUCAGAGACUAAGCGAAAGUGAUAAGUUAGCCACCUGGGGAGUACGAACGCAAGUUUGAAACUCAAAGGAAUUGACGGGGGCCCGCACAAGCGGUGGAUUAUGUGGUUUAAUUCGAUGAUACGCGAGGAACCUUACCAAGGCUUAAAUGGGAAAUGACAGGCUUAGAAAUAGGCUUUUCUUCGGACAUUUUUCAAGGUGCUGCAUGGUUGUCGUCAGCUCGUGCCGUGAGGUGUUAGGUUAAGUCCUGCAACGAGCGCAACCCCUGUCACUAGUUGCCAUCAUUAAGUUGGGGACUCUAGUGAGACUGCCUACGCAAGUAGAGAGGAAGGUGGGGAUGACGUCAAAUCAUCACGGCCCUUACGCCUUGGGCCACACACGUAAUACAAUGGCCGGUACAGAGGGCAGCUACACAGCGAUGUGAUGCAAAUCUCGAAAGCCGGUCUCAGUUCGGAUUGGAGUCUGCAACUCGACUCUAUGAAGCUGGAAUCGCUAGUAAUCGCGCAUCAGCCAUGGCGCGGUGAAUACGUUCCCGGGCCUUGUACACACCGCCGCGUCAAGCCAUGGAAGUCUGGGGUACCUGAAGUCGGUGACCGUAACAGGAGCUGCCUAGUUAAAACCAUAUUU
rnacentral:rRNA from 1 species